UAUGCCGACACUUUCCUUUCCUUUUUUUUUGGUAAAAUGUUAAGUACACUUUCCUUUCCUUUUCUCCAAAACUUCUCUCAAAUUAGCAAAACAUUGACAAUCGCAGUUGUUUCCAAUGAGAAGAUAGAACAAAAAAAUCAGAAGGAGUAGUCUCAUUUCCUGUUCAUCUCUGUGUGUUAUACGAAGGUAAGUAUCCCAACAUGUUCUUCGAUUAUUAUAACUUCUUCUUCUUUUUGCUUUUUGGUUUUUAACAAAAAUCUUAUAUGCAGUUGCAAGAGUAAAUACUUUCUUAAGUGAAUUUAGACGCAAUCUAGAUUAGAGAUUGAUUUUUCUGAACCGUAAAUGUAGCAUCUGCAUAUCUUAUUUUUCUAUAAACUAGAAUCUCUGUCCGCGCUACAAAUUUGGAUGGAAGUUGAUACGUCCUGAGAUUGGACAGGAUCACUCAAAGCUUAUUUUAUUUCAUUGAUCAAAUGGCCUUUAUAUAAUAGGCAAGGCAUACAAAAGGUUUAGUCAAAACCUAGAAACUUGUAAGCUAAUAAAUAUUAAAAUUUGACCAAAGAACAAAGACCAAGACUUUUGACCGAAAAUGGGAAUUUGUGGUCGCAAAACUCUUCGGUUGAUCUCGUCCUUUUGCAUAGCCGACGGGCUCUGGAUUACCGUCAGAUUGAUAUAUUAUUUGACCAUACCUUCUCGUUUCUUGUUAGGCCUUUAUUUCUUUGGGCUGAACCAUGUUCAUAAACAUAUUUUCAUAAAUCGUCAAGCCCGUCUCGUUUAAAACUCAAGCCCAAAAACCAAACUUUCUUAAUUUGUUUAUGCUGCUGAUUUAGGGCACAUCAUUCCCUCCUUCUUUAAAAAGAUUUGCCCUCAAAUCUGUCUUUCUUUAGCUUCAGAUAGAAUGAUCUUUUGACUUUUCGUAGAACUUUUUUUUUUUUUUAGAAAGGAAGAUGAAAGGUAGAAGGUGGAUGAUGGAAAGAUGAGAAAAAUAAACAGAUAGUACCGGUUGAGUGGCUCUGAUACCACUUGAUACGUCCUGAGAUUGGACAGGAUCACUCAAAGCUUAUUUUAUUUCAUUGAUCAAAUGGCAUUUAUAUAAUAGGCAAGGCAUACAAAAGGUUUAGUCAAAACCUAGAAACUUGUAAGCUAAUAAAUAUUAAAAUUUGACCAAAGAACAAAGACCAAGACUUUUGACCGAAAAUGGGAAUUUGUGGUCGCAAAACUCUUCGGUUGAUCUCGUCCUUUUGCAUAGCCGACGGGCUCUGGAUUGCCGUCAGAUUGAUAUAUUAUUUGACCAUACCUUCUUGUUUCUUGUUAGGCCUUUAUUUCUUUGGGCUGAACCAUGUUCAUAAACAUAUUUUCAUAAAUCGUCAAGCCCGUCUCGUUUAAAACUCAAGCCCAAAAACCAAACUUUCUUAAUUUGUUUAUGCUGCUGAUUUAGGGCACAUCAGAAGUCUCCAAAGGAUUAGAAAAUUUAAUUGGUACAUUUAUUUUGGUAAAUAUUGUGAUUAGUUAACCAUUUGAUAUUUUUGCAAGGAGAUGUCUGCGAUUAUUUUACCCAGAAGGUAGGUGAUAGCAGUGGCUAAGUGUAGAAGCUGACUGAAAUUGCAAAGGGAGAAGUUGUGCGCAGGAAAGUUUUGGAAUUGUGUCUUCUAAUUUUGUGACACUUGUUGCAUGGUUGAUAUCAAUUAAGUAUGGCUGCGGAAUAAGCUUGUAUUUGUGAUUGUUUGGUGAGAGCUGGUAUAUAUCUCCUGCUGAUAGAAGUUUAGGUUCCUCAGUUGUUACGUUAUGUGAGAGCCGCCCUUCUAGAGUUUGUCCCUGAAUGGAGAGCAAAUGGUUAUUUGUUUUUUGGUUGUAUUCUAAUUGACAUAGAUAAAUAGCAAACAUCUAAGUUAAAACGUAUGAAAGCGGUGCCCAGGUUGGUGUUGGUGUGAUUUAUGAUGGGCCAAAGAUGUCUUACACAAACUAAUAUUGGUGUUGUUGAGACUUGUUCUUCAAGUUUGGCUGCUCAAGUGAAUAGUGUGGCGUGGAGUUGGUUCUCUGUCAACAAAGAAAAUGAUUUAUUUUAUGUGAAAUAUAUUUUCUGAAAACAUUGUUUUCAUUUUUGAACUGUAGAAGUCAGUAUGUUUGUGAUAUAUAUAUAUAUAUAUAUAUGGAAUGUCUAUCUCGAAGAUGUUAUUACCUUCGCCCCGUUGAACUCCGCUUCAAGUAGAUCAUGACAGUGUCGAAUGGUUUUAUUCUCCACUCGGAUGAGUUUUUGUCAGAAGAAUCUCCAAAGUUCUUGGAACAUUCACACAUAUCAUUUGAAGAUAUCAUGGUUUCCUUGGACGUUGGAGCAAUGGGGUUUCCAACUGUGGUUGUUAUAGCUGGCUGAGCUUUUGGAGAGAGGAUCUUUGUGACAGACUGACAGUUAAAGCUCGAGUGUUCCCUGUUAAGUUGUGCUCUGAAACUUCCACACUGAAUUUGUGUUUUUGAUCAAUGGUGUCAAUCAAAGCUUGUGGGACAGGCACUUCAUGGGCAACGCCUUUGUUUUCAGUAGCCUAACAUUGAAGUAAAAAAAUUUAACUCACGACCGACAUCACCAAGUAGGACAAAAACUGUCUGCUCACUACUGUCACAAACGAAGAUCUUAAUACCUGUUAUGAAGGAAAAUGAGAAGCCAAUAGGAGCAAAACGUAAUUGAAUAUUGAGGCUAGAGCUCAUACUCUGCAACACCGGCUACGUUAACCUUUCCUCGCUUUGUACACAUCAGCGAGAUUCCUGCUUGAUGUAGGAGAACAUUUCUGCUAUAGUCAGUCUCAGGAUUAGUGACCACCUCUGCAGCCUGGUCCCAAAGGUAGAGUUUCAUCAAAGGUCUGCUGCAAAAGAUAAGCUCUGACGGGUUUAGAGAAGUACCAAGAAAUGGUGACUUGAAAAAGAAAGCACACGUACCCAUGUGAUUUCACAAGAACCAAAAGAUGCCGCGUCGUAGCUAUCUCAACUUCAUCAAGGAUGGGACCCUCAAUGAAAGUAUGUCCAUUGACCAGCUUCAUGUGGCCAACAACAUCUAUUACAUUGGUCACGAAGAGUGAACAAAAUAUAAAGACUACAUCCAAUCAGAAAACGAUGUUACUCAGAGAUGAUAUGAAAUAUUAGUGGCCUUACCAUAGAGGUCACCUUUGAUGUCACAGUUAGCUUCGAAAUGGAACCGGAACCGGUCUUCGUCAGAGUUCUAUGAUAGAGUUCUAUGAGAAAGAAACGGUUGCGAUAUGAUCAGCAACCCGAUACACCGGUUUGUUUUGGAUCCGUAGAAGUUGAAGAGUCUGUAAACUGAUCCUUGUUUCAUGUCAGGCAAAUACUUUUUAACACGUCUGGAUGUAAUGAUUCAUUGAAUAACAGUUCCCUGUCAAGAAAAACAUGAUCGAAGUUGUGUUGUUUUAAAAAUCAAAUAACGACAACGGUGUUCUUA